rnacentral:rRNA from 1 species
ACGAACGCUGACGGUGUGCUUUAGACAUGCAAGUCGAACGAGAAAGCCCUUCGGGGUUAGUAAAGUAGGCGAACGGGUGAGUAACACGUGGGCAAUCUGCCCCUCGCAGGGGGACAACCGGAGGAAACCCCGGCUAAUACCCCGUAAGUUCAAAGGGAGGCAUCUCCCCUUGAAGAAAGGUAGCUUCGGCCAUCCGGCGAGGGGAUGAGCCCGCGGUGCAUUAGCUAGUUGGUGGGGUAACGGCCCACCAAGGCGACGAUGCAUAGCUGGUCUGAGAGGAUGAUCAGCC